UGAACGCUGGCGGUAGGCCUAACACAUGCACGUCGCACGGCAGCACAGUAAGAGCUUGCUCUUACGGGUGGCGAGUGGCGGACGGGUGAGGAAGACAUCGGCAUCUACUUUUUCGAGGGGGAUAACGUAGGGAAACUUACGCUAAUACCGCAUACGACCUACGGGUGAAAGCAGGGGAUCUUCGGACCUUGCGCGGUUGAAUGAUCCGAUUUCGGAUUAGCGAAUUGGCGGGGUAGAGGCACACCAAGGCAACGAUCCGUAGCUGGUCUGAGAGGAUGAUGGCACACACUGCAAUUGAGAAACGUUGCAGAAUAUAACGGAAGCAACCAGUAGGGAAUUUUGGGCGAUUGUCUCAAUCCUGAUCCAGCUAUACCGAGUGAGUGCAGAAGGCUUUCUAGUUCUAAAGCCCUUUUGUUGGGAAAGAAAAGUAGCAGUUUAAUACCCCGUUGUUCUGACGGUACCCAAAGAAUAAGCACCGGCUAACUUCGUG
rnacentral:rRNA from 1 species